AAUCCAUAGGUUAAUGAGGCGAACCGGGGGAACUGAAACAUCUAAGUACCCCGAGGAAAAGAAAUCAACCGAGAUUCCCCCAGUAGCGGCGAGCGAACGGGGAGGAGCCCAGAGCCUGAAUCAGCAUGUGUGUUAGUGGAAGCGUCUGGAAAGGCGCGCGAUACAGGGUGACAGCCCCGUACACAAAAGCGCAUGUGCUGUGAGCUCGAUGAGUAGGGCGGGACACGUGGUAUCCUGUCUGAAUAUGGGGGGACCAUCCUCCAAGGCUAAAUACUCCUGACUGACCGAUAGUGAACCAGUACCGUGAGGGAAAGGCGAAAAGAACCCCGGCGAGGGGAGUGAAAAAGAACCUGAAACCGUGUACGUACAAGCAGUGGGAGCACCCUUUGGGGUGUGACUGCGUACCUUUUGUAUAAUGGGUCAGCGACUUAUAUUCUGUAGCAAGGUUAACCGAAUAGGGGAGCCGGAGGGAAACCGAGUCUUAAUUGGGCGUUAAGUUGCAGGGUAUAGACCCGAAACCCGGUGAUCUAGCCAUGGGCAGGUUGAAGGUUGGGUAACACUAACUGGAGGACCGAACCGACUAAUGUUGAAAAAUUAGCGGAUGACCUGUGGCUGGGGGUGAAAGGCCAAUCAAACCGGGAGAUAGCUGGUUCUCCCCGAAAGCUAUUUAGGUAGCGCCUCGUGAAUUCAUCUCCGGGGGUAGAGCACUGUUUCGGCUAGGGGGCCAUCCCGGCUUACCAACCCGAUGCAAACUGCGAAUACCGGAGAAUGUUAUCACGGGAGACACACGGCGGGUGCUAACGUCCGUCGUGAAGAGGGAAACAACCCAGACCGCCAGCUAAGGUCCCAAAGUCAUGGUUAAGUGGGAAACGAUGUGGGAAGGCCCAGACAGCCAGGAUGUUGGCUUAGAAGCAGCCAUCAUUUAAAGAAAGCGUAAUAGCUCACUGGUCGAGUCGGCCUGCGCGGAAGAUGUAACGGGGCUAAACCAUGCACCGAAGCUGCGGCAGCGACGCUGAUGCGUUGUUGGGUAGGGGAGCGUUCUGUAAGCCUGCGAAGGUGGCCUGUGAGGGUUGCUGGAGGUAUCAGAAGUGCGAAUGCUGACAUAAGUAACGAUAAAGCGGGUGAAAAGCCCGCUCGCCGGAAGACCAAGGGUUCCUGUCCAACGUUAAUCGGGGCAGGGUGAGUCGACCCCUAAGGCGAGGCCGAAAGGCGUAGUCGAUGGGAAACGGGUUAAUAUUCCCGUACUUGGUGUUACUGCGAAGGGGGGACGGAGAAGGCUAUGUUGGCCGGGCGACGGUUGUCCCGGUUUAAGCGUGUAGGUGUGUGUUCCAGGUAAAUCCGGUUCACUUUAACACUGAGGCGUGAUGACGAGGCACUACGGUGCUGAAGCAACAAAUGCCCUGCUUCCAGGAAAAGCCUCUAAGCAUCAGGUAACAUCAAAUCGUACCCCAAACCGACACAGGUGGUCAGGUAGAGAAUACCAAGGCGCUUGAGAGAACUCGGGUGAAGGAACUAGGCAAAAUGGUGCCGUAACUUCGGGAGAAGGCACGCUGACACGUAGGUGAAGUGAUUUACUCAUGGAGCUGAAGUCAGUCGAAGAUACCAGCUGGCUGCAACUGUUUAUUAAAAACACAGCACUGUGCAAACACGAAAGUGGACGUAUACGGUGUGACGCCUGCCCGGUGCCGGAAGGUUAAUUGAUGGGGUCAGCGCAAGCGAAGCUCCUGAUCGAAGCCCCGGUAAACGGCGGCCGUAACUAUAACGGUCCUAAGGUAGCGAAAUUCCUUGUCGGGUAAGUUCCGACCUGCACGAAUGGCGUAAUGAUGGCCAGGCUGUCUCCACCCGAGACUCAGUGAAAUUGAACUCGCUGUGAAGAUGCAGUGUACCCGCGGCAAGACGGAAAGACCCCGUGAACCUUUACUAUAGCUUGACACUGAACAUUGAGCCUUGAUGUGUAGGAUAGGUGGGAGGCUUUGAAGUGUGGACGCCAGUCUGCAUGGAGCCGACCUUGAAAUACCACCCUUUAAUGUUUGAUGUUCUAACGUGGACCCGUGAUCCGGGUUGCGGACAGUGUCUGGUGGGUAGUUUGACUGGGGCGGUCUCCUCCUAAAGAGUAACGGAGGAGCACGAAGGUUGGCUAAUCCUGGUCGGACAUCAGGAGGUUAGUGCAAUGGCAUAAGCCAGCUUGACUGCGAGCGUGACGGCGCGAGCAGGUGCGAAAGCAGGUCAUAGUGAUCCGGUGGUUCUGAAUGGAAGGGCCAUCGCUCAACGGAUAAAAGGUACUCCGGGGAUAACAGGCUGAUACCGCCCAAGAGUUCAUAUCGACGGCGGUGUUUGGCACCUCGAUGUCGGCUCAUCACAUCCUGGGGCUGAAGUAGGUCCCAAGGGUAUGGCUGUUCGCCAUUUAAAGUGGUACGCGAGCUGGGUUUAGAACGUCGUGAGACAGUUCGGUCCCUAUCUGCCGUGGGCGCUGGAGAACUGAGGGGGGCUGCUCCUAGUACGAGAGGACCGGAGUGGACGCAUCACUGGUGUUCGGGUUGUCAUGCCAAUGGCACUGCCCGGUAGCUAAAUGCGGAAGAGAUAAGUGCUGAAAGCAUCUAAGCACGAAACUUGCCCCGAGAUGAGUUCUCCCUGAGACUUUAGGUCUCCUGAAGGAACGUUGAAGACGACGACGUUGAUAGG
rnacentral:rRNA from 1 species